UAAUAUUUAUUGCUGCCUUGUUCUAUAUAAAUGUUUCUAACAUGCAGGUAACAUUUAUAUAUGUAUUAGUUUGAAUAAAUCAUUUUAAUAAAGUUACAUUAUAGGCAGGAAUGUUUGACUGGAAAUAUAAACGAUGUUGUACAUAAUGCAGAUAGCUUAGGCAAAAAAGAGAUUGGUGAAAUGGAGAAUGAGACUAACUAGGGUGAAAAAAAAUGAAUAUUAAUAUGUGAAUGGUACUUUGUUUAACAUCUACCUGUUUCUACAGAUACAGUACAGACGCAUUUAUAAAUGGGCUUGAUGUUUUUUUGAAUUAAAUAUGUUGUAUUGA